UUAUAUUGAUGUUGUUAACCGUUCAUUUUAAAAAUCCUACUUUUAGUCUUGCCUUUUAGCCUUGCUUCACAACCAUAAAAAACGUUAGAAAUUUGUUAUCAGUUUCUUUUAGUAUCUCUCCUAGUUUUAUGUUUUGAAGGAAGAGAGCUUUGGAUUGAACUCUCUCGUGUUAGUUGAAAGGAAAUAUCAGAAGAGUUUGUGGUCGCUGGAUUACGUUGACGUGGCUCUAACUUAACUCUACAAAAUCGUUUCAACCUUCCCUGUAAUAACUCUCGUUUUGUCAUACCCAACUAAUUUUAUAGAUCUUACACAAGCAGAGAAAGAGACAACGAAUAAGAAAGAGAUAUGACUGUGUGAGGUAUGUGUCUUUAAAUAUUACGUUCUUUCCAUGCAUGUGAACAUUACUGGUACUUUACACAGUAGAAACAUACAUUAAACGUCGACACACAAACCUUUCAAAUUUCAAAGCGAACUCUGAUACUUUCUAAGCCUUCUAUGCGCUAGGCAUCGCUAAAAAUGUAGAGUCUAAUAUCGAUAAUAUUAAUAUGUGUAUAUAUUGUAUAUAUAUAGUGCUCAAUACCAUGCAGUAUUAGUAGAGCUUUAUAAUUGUUUUGUCUACUUAAUAAAAUAAAGUCGCAACUCCGAG
rnacentral:lncRNA from 1 species